UGCCUAGGUUCCACGAUGCCAACAGUAA
rnacentral:piRNA from 1 species